rnacentral:lncRNA from 1 species
GGGGGGGUAAGAUGUACGCAGUCCAUACCUCUACCUCUGAUGAAGUAGAAAGGCUGUUUCCGAAAGACCCCCGGCUCAAGUCACGAGAUAUCACACAAACACAUAGUACAGCACAGGAGCACCCAUAGAGUAAUACUAUACACAAUAUAUCCGAAAAUCACACAAAUCACCAAAACACCACGAACUAUAAACUACAAGACACGCAUAACACUACGACUACAGGCACAACUAUAAACAAAACACACCUUCCUACAAGCAAGGACACACUUCUACCAACUAACCUUCUACCCUAUUUAAGCUUUUAGUAUAUGAAUGUAUUAAGCUUUUUAGUUAAGCAUUAUUCUAAGUUGAUAUUAGAACCCAAGGGAGUGGCCUAAUGGUCAAUGAAAUGAGUGAGAACCAUAAGGUCUCAGUUUCAAAUCUUAAUGGAGACGAAAACACUAUAUGAUUUCUUCCCAUCUAUCAUAACUUUGGUGGAUAGAGUUACAUGUUGUUGGUGGGAUGUCGCAAGUAUCCCGUGGAAUUAGUCAAGGUGCGUGAAAGCUGGUCAAGAUACCAUGCUUAUCAAAAAAAGUUAGCACUAUUCCAAAUUCUAACCUAUUAAGUCACUUGAUACAUUUAGAUUCCAUCUUCAAACUACUUAAUGUCUUUGAAUCCAAGGGACAAGGCAUUCAGAUCCAGCUUUAUCUAAACACUAAAAUAUGUGAUAUAGCGUGAUUAUGGAAUUGCUAUACGCAUAGAGAUUUAUGUCUUAUUAAUAAAAAAUAUCAUUGAGUGCUAAAUAAACAGUUGCCAAGUAAAAUCAAGGCUCCUCUCAAAGUAGUUUGUUUUGUAUGCUUGGUGGCAAGCAGGCUGCUUAUCCUAGGAUAAUUUAAAGAGGAGGAAUUCGGAUAAGCUCGACGGAUUAUUAAUGCUAUGGAAAAUCAGAGAAUAACAGUCAUUUAUUUUAUGUAUUUUGGAUGUUGAAGGUGUAUAACCAUCUCAUCUAAACUCCAUUGACAGCCAUCAAAAACUUUUGAAUUCGAAAUUUGGGUUUUGCAAAAUUGAUAUAUGUUGGGUUGAUGUUGCAAACAACUGGAAAUAUCGUUAUAUGUAAAUACCAAUCUAUUAAUAAGUUGUAUGUGUUAGAAUAUGAGUAGGAAUAGGAAUAGCCUAAGUUGCUCGGACUCUCCAAAAAUGUUGCCGCACCCGUGUCGGAUCCUUCAAAAAUACACUAUUUUUGGAGUACCCGACACUCUCCCAUAGACAUUUUUGAAGAGUCCGAGCAACUUAGAGAAUAGCAUAUAAAAUCCUACUUGGAAAAGGAUUGUAAUGUAGUGUCCUAUUAGGAAAAGGAUUGGAAUGUAUUAUCUAUAAAUAGGGCCUCAAUGUAAUAAUGUAAUUACAACGUUUCAAUAAUAUUCUUCUCUUAUAUUUUUCACAUGGCAUCAGAGCUUCCACGAUCUUGGUAAAGAAUCAAAGAGUUUCCGCUGCACGCGGGCGGCUAUAAUCCAUAUAUGUCGCCCGUCUGGCCAAUGAUUAUGUUAGCAAAAGUUGGGUCACUGACUCACUGUGUAUCUUUCUAGUGACUAUUUUCUCAUAUCUUUGCGUAGCACCAUGCAUCUGUCCGGUGACUACUUUUUCAUAUCUAUUUUUCUUAGCACCGUACUUCUUUUCGGUGACUAUUUUCUCAUAUCUGAUUUGCGUAGCACCGUGCAUCUUUCUGGACUACUGUCUCAUAUCUGAGUUACAUAGCACCAUGCAUCUUUCUGGUGACUCCUCAGAUUUAAUUUACAUAGUUCUGUACGUCUUUCCGGUGACUCCUCAAAUCUUUUUCAGUAGGGUCGUGCCAUCAUUCCGACCCUGCCCAUAUAAUUUCUCUUUUCCAGUAGGAUCAUGCUGUCAUUCCUACCCUACUCAUAUAAUUUCUACUUCUCAAUAGGGUCGUGCCAUCAUUCCGACCCUACACAUAUUUCUCUUUUUCAGUAUGGUCGUGUCAUCAUUCCGACCCUACCUAUAUACUUUUUUUCCCCUCAAAUUGUAGUCAUUGUGCAGCUAUCAAAUCUAAUAGUCCGACGUGUGAGCAUGUUUCGGCUAAGUUUCUAGUGACUUUCAUGUUCAAGAUCUACUCAUCUCUUGAUUUCGAGAUGACCCGCAUAUUUUAUACCAGUUUUCGGCAAUUUUCCAGCGACACAUCGACUUUACGGCAAUAUUUACUACUUUUCGGAUCAUUUUUCAGUUUGUUCUGUUUUAAUUGAGGUCUCCCAGACGUCCAAAGCAGUCCUUAUCAGUUUUCUUGCAGAUAUUUUCACCAAGUCCCUCACCGAUUCUCAUAUUAUUUACAUCCAUAGCAAGCUUGGUACAUAUGUCUUCUAUGCACCAGCUUGAGGGGGAGUAUUAGAAUAUGAGUAGGAAUAGGAAUAGCAUAUAAAAUCCUACUUGAAAAAGGAUUGUAACGUAGUGUCCUAUUAGAAAAAGGAUUGAAAUGUAUUGUCUAUAAAUAAGGUCUCAAUGUAAUAAUGUAGUUACAACGUUUCAAUAAUAUUCUUCUCUUAUAUUUUUCACAGUAUGUAUCUUGUAUUCCGGGUGUAUGCUAUUAGUAUGUUCAAUGUAUCAUUGGACAUAAAAUGACAAACACAUGACAUACAAAAUACCUACAACAUAAUUGUACACAAGUUGCAUGGAAGUUGUAUGUUUUUACCGGAUUAUAUAAUACCAAAAAUUUGUAUGCAAUCUAUGUUUUCACUGGAUUGUAUACAACAAAAUUUGUCUGCGAAUUGUAUGUUCUGACCGGAUAGUACAUACUUUGUAAAAAUAACUCUCACUUAUUUUUGAGAACCCGAAAAUCUUGUUAAAGUGGGUAAUUAGUGUCUGAUUUUUGUAUCUAUUAGAAGAAAAUCCAUAUCUUCUUGAUCUGUAUUAUCUAUUAGCUUAUACAAGCUCGAAACUAAGGUCAAGCUAGAUUUAUAUGAUCCAAUAAGCAAGUAAAAUCACUGUUAUCAAGCUGAAUCAGCUUGUUAGCAUUUUUCAUGUUUAGCUUUAAACUAAUUUCAAAUUUUAUACCCUGGAAACUAAUUCACACUCGUCCAAAUAACCUCCAUACUCAUCCAAGAAAACAACAACAACAACAACAACAACAAACCCAGCGUAUUCCCACCUAGUGGGAUCUGGGGGGUAAGAUGUACGCAGUCCAUACCUCUACCUCUAAAGAAGUAGAAAGGCUGUUUCCGAUAGACCCCCGGCUCAAGGCACAAGAUACCACACAAACACAUAGUAAAGCACAGAAGCAGAUUACAUAACAUAAAUACGGCACCCAUAAGUAAUAUAAAACAGAGGAAAGCAGAGGAAAGCACACAGAUUCGUAAUAAAACAUGGAACACGGA